rnacentral:rRNA from 1 species
UGCCAGCCGCCGCGGUAAUACGAAGGGUGCUAGCGUUAUUCGGAAUUAUUGGGCGUAAAGGGCAUGUAGGCGGACUGUUAAGUCUGAUGUGAAAGCCCGGGGCUCAACCCCGGAAGUGCAUUGGAUACUGGCAGUCUUGAGUAUGGGAGAGGAAAGUGGAAUUCCGGGUGUAGGAGUGAAAUCCGUAGAUAUUCGGAGGAACACCAGUGGCGAAGGCGGCUUUCUGGGCCAAUACUGACGCUGAGGUGCGAAAGCGUGGGGAGCAAACAGGAUUAGAUA